UUAUCGGAGAGUUUGAUCCUGGCUCAGGACGAACGCUGGCGGCGUGCCUAAUACAUGCAAGUCGAGCGGACAGAUGGGAGCUUGCUCCCUGAUGUUAGCGGCGGACGGGUGAGUAACACGUGGGUAACCUGCCUGUAAGACUGGGAUAACUCCGGGAAACCGGGGCUAAUACCGGAUGGUUGUUUGAACUGCAUGGUUCAAACAUAAAAGGUGGCUUCGGCUACCACUUACAGAUGGACCCGCGGCGCAUUAGCUAGUUGGUGAGGUAAUGGCUCACCAAGGCAACGAUGCGUAGCCGACCUGAGAGGGUGAUCGAGUACCACACUGGGACUGAGACACAGUACCCCAGACUCCUACGGGAGGCAGCAGUAGGGAAUCUUCCGCAAUGGACGAAAGUCUGACGGAGCAACGCCGCGUGAGUGAUGAAGGUUUUCGGAUCGUAAAGCUCUGUUGUUAGGGAAGAACAAGUACCGUUCGAAUAGGGCGGUACCUUGACGGUACCUAACCAGAAAGCCACGGCUAACUACGUGCCAGCAGCCGCGGUAAUACGUAGGUGGCAAGCGUUGUCCGGAAUUAUUGGGCGUAAAGGGCUCGCAGGCGGUUUCUUAAGUCUGAUGUGAAAGCCCCCGGCUCAACCGGGGAGGGUCAUUGGAAACUGGGGAACUUGAGUGCAGAAGAGGAGAGUGGAAUUCCACGUGUAGCGGUGAAAUGCGUAGAGAUGUGGAGGAACACCAGUGGCGAAGGCGACUCUCUGGUCUGUAACUGACGCUGAGGAGCGAAAGCGUGGGGAGCGAACAGGAUUAGAUACCCUGGUAGUCCACGCCGUAAACGAUGAGUGCUAAGUGUUAGGGGGUUUCCGCCCCUUAGUGCUGCAGCUAACGCAUUAAGCACUCCGCCUGGGGAGUACGGUCGCAAGACUGAAACUCAAAGGAAUUGACGGGGGCCGCACAAGCGGUGGAGCAUGUGGUUUAAUUCGAAGCAACGCGAAGAACCUUACCAGGUCUUGACAUCCUCUGACAAUCCUAGAGAUAGGACGUCCCCUUCGGGGGCAGAGUGACAGGUGGUGCAUGGUUGUCGUCAGCUCGUGUCGUGAGAUGUUGGGUUAAGUCCCGCAACGAGCGCAACCCUUGAUCUUAGUUGCCAGCAUUCAGUUGGGCACUCUAAGGUGACUGCCGGUGACAAACCGGAGGAAGGUGGGGAUGACGUCAAAUCAUCAUGCCCCUUAUGACCUGGGCUACACACGUGCUACAAUGGACAGAACAAAGGGCAGCGAAACCGCGAGGUUAAGCCAAUCCCACAAAUCUGUUCUCAGUUCGGAUCGCAGUCUGCAACUCGACUGCGUAAAGCUGGAAUCGCUAGUAAUCGCGGAUCAGCAUGCCGCGGUGAAUACGUUCCCGAGGCCUUGUACACACCGCCCGUCACACCACGAGAGUUUGUAACACCCGAAGUCGGUGAGGUAACCUUUUAGGAGCCAGCCGCCGAAGGUGGGACAGAUGAUUGGGGUGAAGUCGUAACAAGGUAGCCGUAUCGGAAGGUGCGGCUGGAUCACCUCCUUU
rnacentral:rRNA from 1 species